CGAUAGCUAUGUGUCUUGCGCAAUAGUCAAGUUUGAUUGAAGAUUGGUGUGUCCUUUGUGUGCGUCUGACGGUGAUCGUUCAAAAUGUGCUGGUGUGCUCCAAACCUAGCGAGUUUCAAAUCCAUUGGUCGUCAUUUGAGGGAGUUACAUGCUAACAAAGACAUGCAUAACCGGUGCCAGAUUGCAUGUCUUUGCUUACUUGGUGCGAAGCAUAUAGGCAACGCAGAAGGAUAAACAAUGUCUUGUUAAAUGCUAGAGACUGUUCUUUUCAGGAAUACCAAUUAUUUCGGUGUUAAAACCUAGGCAGGUUUGAAUAUCAUGAAUAGUUUUGCUCCGAGUUGGAUUUUGUUGUACAACCCCAUGGAGAACAUGAAUCGUUUUGGAUUAUAAAAACAGAAUUUAUCAAACAAAACAAUGCUUGGCUAAAUCUCUGGGACCAUCAAGAUAAGAAAUCAGACGGCUCAUUGUAAGUACACAGUUUACCAUCAGACACCAAACUAGCGACCCUGGUGCCAUUUGUGUGGAUGUUUACUAUACUCAAAAACUUGCAUAGGAGUUAGUCGCUGUAAUGGCUUCUUUAAAUUGUGUAAUGCAGUUAGAUUCACGAGAUUCUAAGCUUUCUGCACAUAUAUAAUAUGCCUAUAACAAAAAAUAUAUAUUUACAACACUUUGUGGCAUAAACGUUUGGUGUCACGGCGGCAGGACGUCUCAGAGAAUUAACAGGCAGCCAGCGUUAACUGCUCUGUAAGUAACGGUCUGUAAUUUGAAGGGUUACCAAAACACCUACAGGCAGGCAAGCGGUUCCCACAAACUAAUUGUAGGAAACAUAACAAAAAAUACAGUCAGUGGUCUGGUCAAUUUGCAAAGGUGUAUGUAUGUUUUACUAGGGUUAUUUAUCUAGCUAUAUUGGGCAUACUGUGCCCGGCAUAGACAUAAUAAAGAGUAGACCCCGCAUUGGCUGCUGGGCGCGAGAAAUACGGCCGCCAUCUUGGACCGGUCGUACUCCUAGUUGCGUAGCAGCAGAAGCAACGGCGCCAGAGCACUGUGCAGCAUAUUCCUGCUCAAAUCGGCGGACCAUCGAAAGCAGGGCUCGGUGGAUUACUUUUCACAAGUAAGAUUUAACAGUACCUUACUAUUGGUUGUAUUUUGUGACUAGAAUAUAACCAGAGAGUUGAGAAGGAGCAAGGUUCUUUGAUAUUACUGUACUGCACCAGCCGGUGUUCACCCAGCUAUGAACUGAGACUUGAUUAGUCAUAUUCUAUAACACUGGCUUAGAUUACAACUGACACAAGAAUGCUAUUGUAGAAAUAAAACAAAUAUUACUGGUAUAACAUUGGCCAGCUAAUUUUACACAAGUGGCACAGACUGUAUCAUAUAUAGUCGUAUAUAUACAUAAAAGACAGUAUCAUCAGUGUUGGGCAAUACUAGCUUAGCUAGUAACUUAGUAUUUUGGUGGAAGCUUCUCUAUUUCCAGAGUCAAGGAACUUUUCAGUAGUAGUAACUCCUUUAUUUACAAAGUUGCUUGGCCACACAAGCUACACUUUUCUUGUCAUGUGAGAUUAGCGCAACUUAAAUUAGCUUCCUAUGUAGUGAACUAGCCUACUGCUGUGCUUUUGUUAUGCAUUGUGUUCCUAAGAUGCUCCUAACUGCUUCAGUUUUGUUUGUCUGAAUUGUUUUGUAUUCAGUGUUUUUCAGGUCCUAGAUGCUUCUAAAUGGUAUAUAUUACACAACAUCAACUUUAUGCAGGUGUCAGAAAGAUUGGUAUGUAUGUUGAUGUGAUGUUAUCUUGUUGAAAUGUUUUUCAAUAUGCAGUUUUGUUUCGGUUGGCAUUAUCUUGUAUUCAGUGUGUUUUUCAGGUCCUAGAUGUUUCUAAAUGGUAUGUAUUACACAACAUCAAGUACAUGUAGGUGUCAAAAGGGUAGGUAUUGCAUGUGUUGUUUUCAAGUUAUCCCAGUUCUGCAAUUAUAUUGUUACAAGUUAAUGUUCCUUUGUGUACAAGUAUACUUUAUAAGUUAAACAAGAAACUGAUCCCAUUCCUAAAAACAUGGAUGCAAACUAAUUAUCUAUCUGCCCUGGUAGCUGUUUACCAUUUUCAUUCUCUGUGAGUUUGCACCCCUGUGAUAGGCACUUUACUGCUUUGUAUUAACAAAAUCACAUGGGGCUUUCUUUGGGUGUCUUUUCGCCAUGAUCAGAGUAAUAAAACCUUUUUCUUUUGCAGGUACUUGUCGGUCAUCGGGUCAAUAACGACGUGUGAUGCUGAUGAUUCCUGAACUGCUUGGAGCUCCUAUUUAAUUCAAUCAGAGCAUCAGGCGGCUGGAAUAACAAUAACAAUCCAGUUCCAGGCCAUCUUCCGCCGGCUGAUGGUUCGGUGUGGUGUCUCACCUGGUGAGACAGGCAAUGUGGCAGCCCAGGAUAACACUGUCCCUGUCUGCAGUGGAGAUGUCCUCUCCUGAAACUGCUGAAGAGCACCCAUCUCCAUUCGCCAACAUUUGGCCCUUGUGUGUGACCACAGUUAUCUCCCCACUCGGUUUGGUGGUCUGGUGGCAAAUGCUCAGGUCUACAUAGCAGGGUUUGUAGUCCGGCAGAUUCUACGAAAACUGUCCUGUGAUGUGUGCUGUGCGAGCUUGGUCAGAGAUGCUGUACCAUCUUCAUUUGACAAGAGCUACCACCUUCUAACCCGGAAAAACGGCGGCCUAGUUUUUCCAUCACAAGGCACAGUGAUGAUUUUAUUCUUUUAAUCUUUGUAUAUUAAGGUUGCUUUGUUCUUAUUUUCUCUGUUUUGUAAAGUGUCUUUGAGCACUGUGUAAAGCGCCAUAUAAAUAUAAUGUAUUUUAUAAUUUUUAUUAUUUUAAUAAGGUGUUGAGAGCUGCAGAGGGGGUGUAGAUGUAUUGAUUGUAUGAGUUAGUGAACUGUUGUAAGCUGUUGUAACCAAUGUAGAUGUAUUGAUUGUAUAAGUUAGUGAACUGUUGUAAGCUGUUGUAACCAAUGAAACAAAAUAUUAAUUGUUUGUAAUAUGAGCUGAAACUGAAGGUGCAAGCAGGAGAAUAGGAAACCCUGUUCAAGCGGUUGCCGGGGAGAGAAAGAUUUAGUAUGUCUGUCUUGUGAGAAACAGGUCACAGGUCAGAGACACACACACAUAGUCGGACAGACAACACAGAAACCACAAGGGGGGCAAGGGGAUACUUGCAGUUAUCCUUAUAAGGAAUAGAACUGGGAUUGGGCCAAUGGCACACUUGCUUUGUAACUUAACGCCGCUAUCUUUUGGGCGUAGUGGAAGUAUAAAAAUGAUGUUUUGACUGUUGAUCCUUAGACAUUGUACGGCGACACCUUGUCUCCAAAAGCUUUUGUAAUAAACGGAAUAUGCGGUACGGUAA
ensembl:lncRNA